rnacentral:rRNA from 1 species
GACGAAUGCUGGCGGCGUGCCUAAUACAUGCAAGUCGAACGCAGUGGGGACGGGUGAGUAACACGUGGGUAACCUCCCAUCAGAGGGGAUAACACUUGGAAACAGGUGCUAAACCGAUACUGAUGGAUGGACCCGCGGUGCAUUAGCUAGUUGUUGAGGUAACGCCUCACCAAGGCCACGAUGCAUAGCCGACCUGAGAGGGUGUGCGGCCACACUGGGACUUGGACACGGCCCAGACUCCUACGGCAGGCAGCAUUAGGGAAUCUUCGGCAAUGGACGAAAGUCUGACCGGGAAACGCCGCGUGAGGUUAGAAGGUUUUCGGAUCGUAAAACUCUGUUGUUAGAGAAGCGGUAUCUAACCAGAAAGCCACGGCUAACUACGUGCCAGCAGCCGCGGUAAUAC